AUUGAACGCUGGCGGCAUGCCUUACACAUGCAAGUCGAACGGUAACAGGUUAAGCUGCCGAGUGGCGAACGGGUGAGUAAUGUAUCGGAACGUGCCCAGUCGUGGGGGAUAACUGCUCGAAAGAGCAACUAAUACCGCAUACGACCUGAGGGUGAAAGCGGGGGAUCGCAAGACCUCGCGCGAUUGGAGCGGCCGAUAUCAGAUUAGGUAGUUGGUGAGGUAAAGGCUCACCAAGCCGACGAUCUGUAGCUGGUCUGAGAGGACGACCAGCCACACUGGGACUGAGACACGGCCCAGACUCCUACGGGAGGCAGCAGUGGGGAAUUUUGGACAAUGGGCGCAAGCCUGAUCCAGCCAUGCCGCGUGCGGGAAGAAGGCCUUCGGGUUGUAAACCGCUUUUGUCAGGGAAGAAAAGGUUCUGGCUAAUACCUGGGACUCAUGACGGUACCUGAAGAAUAAGCACCGGCUAACUACGUG
rnacentral:rRNA from 1 species